UCGAGAAUUUUUCUCAAUGGGGGAAACCCUGAAGGAGCGACGCCGCGUGGAGGAUGAAGGUCUUCGGAUUGUAAACUCCUGUCAUGAGGGAGUAAGACACAGCGUUAACUGCGUAUGUGUUUGAUAGUACCUCAAGAGGAAGAGACGGCUAACUCUGUGCCAGCAGCCGCGGUAAUACAGAGGUCUCAAGCGUUGUUCGGAUUCAUUGGGCGUAAAGGGUGCGUAGGCGGUUGGGUAAGUCAGAGGUGAAAUUCCGGGGCUCAACCUCGGAACUGCCUUUGAUACUGCCUGACUAGAGUACUGGAGAGGAGACUGGAAUUCACGGUGUAGCAGUGAAAUGCGUAGAUAUCGUGAGGAAGACCAGUGGCGAAGGCGAGUCUCUGGACAGUUACUGACGCUGAGGCACGAAGGCUAGGGGAGCAAACGGG
rnacentral:rRNA from 1 species